rnacentral:antisense_RNA from 1 species
CUUGACCGAGCCGCGCCGCAGCGGCCGGUCGGCGGGCCGGUCCCGGCCGUACGCGGCGAGCCGCGCCUGGCCCUC